rnacentral:misc_RNA from 1 species
GAUGAAGAACGUAGCGAAAUGCGAUACUUGGUGUGAAUUGCAGAAUCCCGUGAACCAUCGAGUCUUUGAACGCAAGUUGCGCCCGAAGCCAUUAGGCCGAGGGCACGCCUGCCAGGGCGUCACACGUCGUUGCCCCCCCCAUCUACUCCUUCGGGAUUGCGGGGGGCGGAUGAUGGCCUCCCGUGCGCCUCGCCGCGCGGUUGGCAUAAAUGCCAAGUCCUCGGCGACGCACGCCACGACAAUCGGUGGUUGCGAAACCUCGGUUGCCCGUCGUGUGCGGUCGUCGCGCAUCGAGGGCUCGAAAAAAUUGCCGAGUUCCGGCUCGGCUUUCAACGCGACCCCAGGUCAGGCGGGGUUACCCGCUGAAUUUAAGCAUAUCAAUAAGCGGAGGA